rnacentral:rRNA from 1 species
CGGGACACGUGGUAUCCUGUCUGAAUAUGGGGGGACCAUCCUCCAAGGCUAAAUACUCCUGACUGACCGAUAGUGAACCAGUACCGUGAGGGAAAGGCGAAAAGAACCCCGGCGAGGGGAGUGAAAAAGAACCUGAAACCGUGUACGUACAAGCAGUGGGAGCACGCUUAGGCGUGUGACUGCGUACCUUUUGUAUAAUGGGUCAGCGACUUAUAUUCUGUAGCAAGGUUAACCGAAUAGGGGAGCCGAAGGGAAACCGAGUCUUAACUGGGCGUUAAGUUGCAGGGUAUAGACCCGAAACCCGGUGAUCUAGCCAUGGGCAGGUUGAAGGUUGGGUAACACUAACUGGAGGACCGAACCGACUAAUGUUGAAAAAUUAGCGGAUGACUUGUGGCUGGGGGUGAAAGGCCAAUCAAACCGGGAGAUAGCUGGUUCUCCCCGAAAGCUAUUUAGGUAGCGCCUCGUGAAUUCAUCUCCGGGGGUAGAGCACUGUUUCGGCAAGGGGGUCAUCCCGACUUACCAACCCGAUGCAAACUGCGAAUACCGGAGAAUGUUAUCACGGGAGACACACGGCGGGUGCUAACGUCCGUCGUGAAGAGGGAAACAACCCAGACCGCCAGCUAAGGUCCCAAAGUCAUGGUUAAGUGGGAAACGAUGUGGGAAGGCCCAGACAGCCAGGAUGUUGGCUUAGAAGCAGCCAUCAUUUAAAGAAAGCGUAAUAGCUCACUGGUCGAGUCGGCCUGCGCGGAAGAUGUAACGGGGCUAAACCAUGCACCGAAGCUGCGGCAGCGACGCUUAUGCGUUGUUGGGUAGGGGAGCGUUCUGUAAGCCUGUGAAGGUGUGCUGUGAGGCAUGCUGGAGGUAUCAGAAGUGCGAAUGCUGACAUAAGUAACGAUAAAGCGGGUGAAAAGCCCGCUCGCCGGAAGACCAAGGGUUCCUGUCCAACGUUAAUCGGGGCAGGGUGAGUCGACCCCUAAGGCGAGGCCGAAAGGCGUAGUCGAUGGGAAACAGGUUAAUAUUCCUGUACUUGGUGUUACUGCGAAGGGGGGACGGAGAAGGCUAUGUUGGCCGGGCGACGGUUGUCCCGGUUUAAGCGUGUAGGCUGGUUUUCCAGGCAAAUCCGGAAAAUCAAGGCUGAGGCGUGAUGACGAGGCACUACGGUGCUGAAGCAACAAAUGCCCUGCUUCCAGGAAAAGCCUCUAAGCAUCAGGUAACAUCAAAUCGUACCCCAAACCGACACAGGUGGUCAGGUAGAGAAUACCAAGGCGCUUGAGAGAACUCGGGUGAAGGAACUAGGCAAAAUGGUGCCGUAACUUCGGGAGAAGGCACGCUGAUAUGUAGGUGAAGUCCCUUGCGGAUGGAGCUGAAAUCAGUCGAAGAUACCAGCUGGCUGCAACUGUUUAUUAAAAACACAGCACUGUGCAAACACGAAAGUGGACGUAUACGGUGUGACGCCUGCCCGGUGCCGGAAGGUUAAUUGAUGGGGUCAGCGCAAGCGAAGCUCUUGAUCGAAGCCCCGGUAAACGGCGGCCGUAACUAUAACGGUCCUAAGGUAGCGAAAUUCCUUGUCGGGUAAGUUCCGACCUGCACGAAUGGCGUAAUGAUGGCCAGGCUGUCUCCACCCGAGACUCAGUGAAAUUGAACUCGCUGUGAAGAUGCAGUGUACCCGCGGCAAGACGGAAAGACCCCGUGAACCUUUACUAUAGCUUGACACUGAACAUUGAGCCUUGAUGUGUAGGAUAGGUGGGAGGCUUUGAAGUGUGGACGCCAGUCUGCAUGGAGCCGACCUUGAAAUACCACCCUUUAAUGUUUGAUGUUCUAACGUGGACCCGUGAUCCGGGUUGCGGACAGUGUCUGGUGGGUAGUUUGACUGGGGCGGUCUCCUCCUAAAGAGUAACGGAGGAGCACGAAGGUUGGCUAAUCCUGGUCGGACAUCAGGAGGUUAGUGCAAUGGCAUAAGCCAGCUUGACUGCGAGCGUGACGGCGCGAGCAGGUGCGAAAGCAGGUCAUAGUGAUCCGGUGGUUCUGAAUGGAAGGGCCAUCGCUCAACGGAUAAAAGGUACUCCGGGGAUAACAGGCUGAUACCGCCCAAGAGUUCAUAUCGACGGCGGUGUUUGGCACCUCGAUGUCGGCUCAUCACAUCCUGGGGCUGAAGUAGGUCCCAAGGGUAUGGCUGUUCGCCAUUUAAAGUGGUACGCGAGCUGGGUUUAGAACGUCGUGAGACAGUUCGGUCCCUAUCUGCCGUGGGCGCUGGAGAACUGAGGGGGGCUGCUCCUAGUACGAGAGGACCGGAGUGGACGCAUCACUGGUGUUCGGGUUGUCAUGCCAAUGGCACUGCCCGGUAGCUAAAUGCGGAAGAGAUAAGUGCUGAAAGCAUCUAAGCACGAAACUUGCCCCGAGAUGAGUUCUCCCUGACCCUUUAAGGGUCCUGAAGGAACGUUGAAGACGACGACGUUGAUAGGCCGGGUGUGUAAGCGCAGCGAUGCGUUGAGCUAACCGGUACUAAUGAACCGUGAGGCUUAACCUU